rnacentral:rRNA from 1 species
UGGGGAAUUUUGGACAAUGGGGGCAACCCUGAUCCAGCAAUGCCGCGUGAGUGAAGAAGGCCUUCGGGUUGUAAAGCUCUUUUGUCAGGGAAGAAACGGUAGUAGCGAAUAACUAUUACUAAUGACGGUACCUGAAGAAUAAGCACCGGCUAACUACGUGCCAGCAGCCGCGGUAAUACGUAGGGUGCAAGCGUUAAUCGGAAUUACUGGGCGUAAGGCGUGCGCAGGCGGUUGUGUAAGUCAGAUGUGAAAUCCCCGGGCUCAACCUGGGAAUUGCAUUUGAGACUGCACGGCUAGAGUGUGUCAGAGGGGGGUAGAAUUCCACGUGUAGCAGUGAAAUGCGUAGAUAUGUGGAGGAAUACCGAUGGCGAAGGCAGCCCCCUGGGAUAACACUGACGCUCAUGCACGAAAGCGUGGGGAGCAAACAGGAUUAGAUACCCUUGUAGUCCCUGAGCGGGCUGGCAAGGCGCAU